UUCUGUAACAUUCAUAAUGAUUAUGGUCUUAAAGCAAUGGCUCAUAUUUGGUAUAUGAAGUGAUACAGGAACUGCGCUACAGGUGGGAGAAUGGUAUAGCGUUACCAAGUUUAGGGAAGAGUCAUCCUGACAUGUCUUGUUGUCUCUUACAUCAGAAAUUACAGAUGUUAAACAACUGUAUACUACACAAGAUAUCACAUGCUAAGAGACUCCACUACUCUCAGCUAUCAGCAGAGACUUCAGAAUCCAAACUCUCCCCUAG